GCAAUCACCGAGUUCAACCCCAACCCUUUCAAAUCCUCAACUUCCACAACUUUCUUCUCCAAUACCUCCUUAUAAUACUCAACCAACCCCUUCAUUUCCACUUCCAACCCAUCAAUCUUCGCCGCUUUCUCCUCCGGACUAUCCAUCACCAAACUAACCCUCUUCCUCUUCAUCGUCUUCUUCACCGAUCCAUCCGAAACAACUUCCAUCUUCACCUCCUCAACUUGUCAAUCAUCACA
rnacentral:misc_RNA from 1 species